GAUGAACGCUAGCGGGAGGCUUAACACAUGCAAGUCGAGGGGCAUCACGAGGUAGCAAUACUUUGGUGGCGACCGGCGCACGGGUGAGUAACACGUAUGCAACCUACCCUGUACAGGGGGAUAACCCGGAGAAAUUCGGACUAAUAUCCCAUGAUGAUAUUGAGGGGCAUCCUUUAAUAUUUAAAGCUCAGGCGGUACGGGAUGGGCAUGCGGAACAUUAGCUAGUUGGCAGGGUAACGGCCUACCAAGGCUACGAUGUUUAGGGGACCUGAGAGGGUUAUCCCCCACACUGGUACUGAGACACGGACCAGACUCCUACGGGAGGCAGCAGUGAGGAAUAUUGGUCAAUGGGCGCAAGCCUGAACCAGCCAUCCCGCGUGAAGGAAGAAGGCGCUAUGCGUUGUAAACUUCUUUUCCAGGGGGUUGAAUAAUUCCGAUGUAUCGGGAGAUGACGGUACCCUGGGAAUAAGCAUCGGCUAACUCCGUGCCAGCAGCCGACGGUAAAAGUC
rnacentral:rRNA from 1 species